GUUUACAUUUCUGAAGGACGGUGUUGCAAGCUGGUUCCUUGAGCCAUCAGAAGUAACAUCAACACUUUGGGGAGGAGGAGUGCCUGGUACUGCUCAGCAGUGACACACACAGUUUGGCUUAGAAAAGAGGAAGUAGAAAAGUUGAUGGAUUGUUUUAUUUUAUAAGUCUGUUUAAUGUGAACCAUGAAGUAAAGUGUUUGGGAAUGAAAAUACUACCAAACUGAAGGGCUGAUCCAAAGCCCACUGAAGUCACUGAAAAGAAUCCCAUAAUUCACAAUUGUACUCCUGGUAAUAAACAUUAUGCUUGGAAAUGUU